UACGUAGGCAGCAAGCGUUGUUCGGAGUUACUGGGCGUAAAGGGGUGCGUAGGCGGCUUUUUAAGUUUGGUGUGAAAUCUCCCGGCUCAACUGGGAGGGUGCGCCGAAUACUGAGAGGCUAGAGUGUGGGAGAGGAAAGUGGAAUUCCUGGUGUAGCGGUGAAAUGCGUAGAUAUCAGGAGGAACACCGGUGGUGUAAACGGCUUUCUGGACCAUAACUGACGCUGAUGCACGAAAGCGUGGGUAGCAAACAGG
rnacentral:rRNA from 1 species